UGGGGAAUAUUGCACAAUGGGCGAAAGCCUGAUGCAGCGACGCCGCGUGAGGGAUGACGGCCUUCGGGUUGUAAACCUCUUUCAGUAGGGACGAAGCGCAAGUGACGGUACCUGCAGAAGAAGCACCGGCUAACUACGUGCAGCAGCCGCGGUAAUACGUAGGGUGCGAGCGUUGUCCGGAAUUACUGGGCGUAAAGAGCUCGUAGGCGGUUUGUCACGUCGUCUGUGAAAUCCUAGGGCUUAACCCUGGACGUGCAGGCGAUACGGGCUGACUUGAGUACUACAGGGGAGACUGGAAUUUCUGGUGUAGCGGUGGAAUGCACAGAUAUCAGGAAGAACACCGAUGGCGAAGGCAGGUCUCUGGGUAGUAACUGACGCUGAGGAGCGAAAGCAUGGGUAGCGAACAGG
rnacentral:rRNA from 1 species